AACACAAGGUUUUUCAUAAAAUUUAUUGUUUUGUUUCUUAUAUAUAUAGAUCUGUAUAUAGGUACUUAAAGGAGAGGCUUUGUUUUGAUCAGCAGCAAGCAAGACGUACAGGUUUGAGUUGGUGUGGUACGGCAGGUAACCCUUCGCUAAUGCCCAUUUGCGCGUUGAGUCGCGCACAGAUUUUUCCCGAGCACCUCCUUUCUUAAGUGUACUGUAAGGCAGUGGGUUUAUUUAUACGUUUUCUACUUUUAAAACAAGAGUAUUUGAUUUAUUCUUAGUGUGAGUUAUGUCACAUGCAAAUAAAAAUGCCUUGCCUCCAGCCAGCACUGCAAAGCUUCGGCAAAAUAUCAUUGACGCGUGCCAGUCUCAAGCAUAGCAUGAGGGCAGCCAUUUUGUAAGUGGAACCAAGUCGUCCUGAGAAAGCAGCUUAUCGAUUUGAAAUAGAAAUAUAUGUGACAUCAAGAAGGCAGGAAGUAAUAGCACUGGUGCUAUUUAAAGUGGUCUAAAUACUUGAAAUGUGCCUGAAUUUUCCCUGAAUGAUUCUGAAUAGUUACUGUAUGCAACAAUUCUACCUCCAAAAGCUUACAAAAUGGCUGCCUUCACGGUGCUUAACUAACAUGCACACUUUUCUCCAUCUGGAAGUCAAUCAUAAAAAAAAAUUUACAACUUAUUGUGUGUGUUAUAGCCAGAGUAGCAGACUUUUUCUUUGUGUGUUGGUGUAGUUGAGCGUUUUUUUUUUUUUAAUUUGCUUAUCUUCCUGGGAAGCAAUAACGUUUUAAGCGUCAAGACAAAAAACACAGACACAACUUUAGAAAGUGAAAUGACAGUAACAGCAAUGAAGGCUCCCUGUAUAAGGAGCAAUGAAAACAUUUGUCAUUUUUUUUUCUCCCUUUAGGCUGAGACUAAGAUCUGGGAAGAUACGUUGAUGAUUAAUUUUUAAAAAACAGAACUUAAGUUAUCCAUAAGGCUCUUUAAAGAGGCAGUUCCUGGAACACCAAAAAUAAGGGUGAGAA